rnacentral:rRNA from 1 species
GAUGAGCGCUGGCGGCGUGCCUAAUACAUGCAAGUCGAACGCUGGAAAUCUAGCUUGCUAGAUUGAAGGAGUGGCAAACGGGAGAGUAAUACAUAAGCAACCUACCCACGAAGACUGGGAUAAUCUCUGGAAACGGGGACUAAUACCGGAUAGGUAAUCGGAAGGCAUCUUCUGAUUAUUAAAGGUUAAAAACACUGGUGGAUGGGCUUAUGGCGCAUUAGUUAGUUGGUGAGGUAACGGCCCACCAAGACGAUGAUGCGUAGCCGGCCUGAGAGGGUGAACGGCCACAUUGGGACUGAGACACGGCCCAGACUCCUACGGGAGGCAGCAGUAGGGAAUUUUCGGCAAUGGGGGAAACCCUGACCGAGCAACGCCGCGUGAGUGAUGACGGCCUUCGGGUUGUAAAGCUCUGUUGUAAGGGAAGAACGGUAGAUAGAGAAUAUCUAAAUGACGGUACCUUACCAGAAAGCCACGGCUAACUACGU